GGGGAGACUAGAGAGAAGACAGAAAGGGGGAGAGAUACUGACUUCCCUGUACCCCCUGGGAGAACAGGUCUUGAUCAAACCCCGUUCUUUGGUGUUUUGGCGUAACCACACCUCCACACCUUCUAGCUACUUUGAGGAUCCCAGCUUCCUGUGGUGCCGAUCCAGCCACCCUGUUUAGCCUUUCAGGGCCUGCUUUGGAAGAGAGACCAGCUUUUUCCUCCUGAUGUAACAACACCAUGAUUUUUCAGGGCCUGAAUGUGUCAGUUUCCAGCAGACAGGUGUAGCUUGCCUUUGUUGAGACAAACAGCAGACUUCCAUGUGGUCAUUUGUGUUCCAACUGUCCACUGCUCAGCAAGAUUAAAACAGACAGAAGGACCUGUGGCUUCCCCCAAACCAACACUUUUAGUCGGGUAGGGCAUCACCCCAUAGUGGGGUUUGAGAUACAUGAGGAAGGACUUUCCUCCUGUGAGAGGAAAUGAGAGAGUGUUCAUGCCUAAAAUCCUCGGCCCACUUUGGAAAAAAGUACAUACCCAGCUGAGGACAUAGCUGACAUCUGUGUACGGCCCUCCUGAUCCUGUCUCUUUGGAAAGUCCAUCUAAAGACAAGUGUGAUUGAUCACAGACCUGAUGUUUCAGUCAGCUUUGUGCAACUCUAAUAGGGCACCAAAUCACAGAAGGACGCUGUUUGGUCUGGGUGUGGAGAGAUGGCCCAGCCGGGAAGAGCACUUGCUGCUUCCCAGACAUUGAUCAGUUUCCAGCACCCACUUCCAGGAACCCAUAACUGCCCUAAGUUGAGCAGCAAGGGAUUUGACACCCUCUUCCAGCCUCUGCAGGCAUCAGCACACUUACACAUACACACAAAUAAAAAUAACAAACAUA